UCUAUGAUGGAAGUAAGACCAUGGUAUUCCAUUGUACUUUCUUUCUAAUGUGCUUUCUAUACUUUUAUAUAUUUACAUUUUGAAGUACACUUACCUGAGUCUGGUUAAUGAGAUACUUUGUUAUUGUCAUUUCUUUCAGAACUGUCUUCCUAUUGCACCAGAGACCUAUUGCCAGAGCAGGGCAUAAAAGACCCAUUUCAGAAAUCAAUAAUGAGACUAUAUGGAAGCUGUGGCCUUGAAAAUAUACACUUAAGAAGAGACAUGGAGUGUGUGGGUGAGUGUAAGAAGCAGAAAGCAUGUUAUGAUGGUCGUACUCAAUGUUUGUCAACUUGUCAUAGAAAAAUCUUCAAAUGUUAUAAGUGCAUAAAAGUCUUUAGCAAAUCAUCAAAUCUAAAUAGAUACAAGACAAGACAUACUGGAGAGAAAUAUUUCAAACGUAAUGAAUGUAGUGAAACAUUUAACCAUAGAUCUAAUAUUUCCGGACAUAAGAAAAUUCAUAUGGUAGAGAAUCCUUACAAGUGUGAAGAAUGUGGAAAAGACUUUAAGCAUUCCUCCAAACUUACUGUACAUAAGAGAAUUCACACUGGAGAGAAACCCUACAAAUGUGAAGAAUGUGGCAAAGCCUUUAACCAGUCCUCAAACAUUACUUAACAUAAAAGAAUUCAUACUGGAGAGAAACCCUACAAAUGUGAAGAAUGUGGCAAAGCCUUUACCUGGUGUACAAAACUUACUAUACAUAAAAGAAUUCAUACAGGAGAGAAACCAUACAGAUGUGAAGAAUGUGGAAAAGCCUUUACCCAGUGGAGAUACCUUACUCAACAUAAAAUAAUUCAUACGGGAGAGAAACCCUACAAAUGUGAAGAAUGUGGCAAAGCCUUUACCCAGUACACACACCUUACUCAACAUAAAAGAAUUCAUACAGGAGAGAAACCCUACAAUUGUGAGGAAUGUGGCAAAGCCUUUACCCAGUGCUCAACACUUACUCAACAUAAAAGAAUUCAUACUGGAGAUAAACCCUAAAAAUGUGUAGAAUCUGGCACAGCCUUUAUCCAGCUAAAAGACCUCAUUCUACAUAAAUGAAUCCAUACAGGAGAGAAACCAUACAAAUAUGAGGAAUGUGACAAAGCAUUUUCCCAGUGCUCAUACCUUAUUCUACAUAAAAUAAUUCAUAUCAGAGAAAAAUUCUACGAAUGUGAAAAUUGUGGCAAUGUCUUUAUUAACUACUCACAUCUUAUUCAACAUCAAAGAAAUCAUACUAGAUAAAAGUUAGAUAAAUGUAAUGAGUAUGUAAGUGCCUUACCAAAGUAUUAGUCUUAAAAUGCACAACAGUACUUAUACUUAAAGUAAUCACUAAUAAUGUAGAGUGCUGACAAUACCUUUAGUUAUAACAGAGAUCUUAUCAGACAUGGGAUAACUUACACUGAAAGAAAUCCUCCAAAAUUUUCUCAAACAUUGCUCAAGAUCACAAAAAUUUUAAGGGAUAGAAACCUUACAAAUAUAAUGAAUGUGAAAAAAUAUUUAUGCAAAAGAUAUACCUUAGAGAUCAACAAUUGAUACUUAAAAUUCUUUAAUAAGUUUCAGAAUGCAAUUAAUCAAGAAUCAAGUCUAAACAUAUAUCAGAGGACUCACAGUGCAAUACACUAAUGCACUAACACAUUCACACAUUUCUUUAAACCAGGUUGUUGAUUAUAGAGAAUAACCCAGUUAAAAUAGUUAGUUGAUUUAUUUGUAUGUCAGCUUUAAAAAAGAGAGAGAUUUUCUGAGAGUUAUAAUUACAUGUAAAAUAUACUUUCUGGUCAGGGUGGGGUGAAAAUGUAAUAAAGCAUAAUUUUUUUGCUCUUUUUGACAAGCCAGUACUGAUAGUAUUCAACUUUAAAUACAGAAGAUGAUAUGCUUUCAUUCUUAGCAUGUAUGUGAAUAUGUGUGUGGUUAAUGAUAGCUACAUCACAUUUAUUAGAAGUCUUUGUGUAUUACAUAGGCAUUAUUGAUGUACUUUUCCAUGGAAAAUUAAAAACACUGAAAUGUAAGAUUUAUGAAAUGGAGAGGUACUAUGGAGCUUUCUUAUGACAAACAGUAUUUCAAGUGAUGUAUGGUGUAGGUAUACAGACUAAUAUUCUUCUCAUUAUGAUCAGAAUGAAAAAAUUACAAUAUAAGAAAUAAGUUGUUUUAUAAUUUAACAUUAUGGUAAUAACAUAGAAUGAAAUUUGGAAUGUUUUUAGAUAACAUGUAAACUUAUGUUGUUUCAUUAAAUUUUAAAAAUAUUUUUAAUGUGUCAAACAUGUUGUAUAUAGAAUGAAGUGUUAUUUUGCACCAACUUUAACCUAUACCAUGUUACUCAAAGUUGGAGGAAAUGGAUUGUAAAAAUGUACUAUUGGGUUACACAGUACAAAGACAUCAUUUGUGAUCCUUUUUAUUAGUUGCUCUACUUUGAAGAAUAUUGUUCCCAAAGCUUUUUUUUCAUUAUAUUUAUAAUUAUAUUGUUGCUGUAAUGCUUAUAAUAAAGAUUUUGCACUUAAUGAAAAGCCAUGCAUUUCUGAACACGGAAUGACCAGUUACAUUCUAUCCUAUAUUUUUCUUUUAACAUGCAGCCUGCCUCGCCAGUGAAAUAGAAAUAAGCAUAUUUUUUAUUUAUAUUGAAUCAAAUAUACAAAUACAUCACGGUUAACUUGAACUAUAGCUGUAGUAUAUUUACAGAGUAAGUAUGUUUGUGUGACUGUGGAUGUAUACUUAUUUUGAACAGAAAAGAAGAAAUAUUAGACAAAAUGGGUAAUUUCAAAAGUGUUGAGAAUUUACUAGCAAACUAGAAACUUCAAAGAUUCUGAAAGGAAAUAUUUUGUUCGCUUUAUGUUGAAUUAAUUGUUUAAAACCCUGAAGCUUCUGAAUGGGAACCUGCCCAUGUUAAUCCCCUGUUCUUACAUGCUUAUUACUCAUGCUAAGCCUACUAUGUUAUUUUAUUAUUUCAAAGUUUAUUAAGUAUUGUUUAUAUGAUCUGAUCUGCAAUUACAGCAAAGAUUGUUAUAAAACCUAAUGAUGCUCAUAAAAAUACCUGAAGGUAUGAGUAAUUCCACCAUGUAGUAAUUACAUUUUACUUAUUACAUUCUAUAUUUUCAUUCUAAUUAGGGAAGUAUAUUGAAAGCACUUUUUGGUUACUCUUUCUUUUACUUUUGGUCAUCGAACUAAUUGAUUUAUUGACUUUAUCAGGCUACUUUGUUCAGGUAAACACUAAUAGGGGUUUAUAAAUUAUAGAGUUUAUUUUAUAUUUAAAUAGAAAAAAUAAGUACAGGACAGUCUUAGAUAUGUACUAGAUGCUUAAUAAUUAGCAGUCAAUAUUUCUGUGGGAGUGAGCUUGUGACUCCAGAGAAGAGAUUGAAUAUGUCCAGGUUAAAAAAAAAGUCAUUUAUUUUACAUGUGGAGCAAAGGGACAAACAGAACAACCACCCCUCGGAAUUUAUAAGUGGAAAUUCUGCUUCUUUCAUUUCAUAAUUAUCUCCAGUUUUUCCCAUUUUUUAUCUUCAUUAUCUUCCCUUCUACAACUGUAUCGAAGCCAUUCUUCUUUCUUCCUGUGCUUGGGCUACGAUAUUCUCACUGUUGUACUCACCCCCAGCCAGUUCACACAGUUUUUAAAAAGUUUUGAUGAGAAGUGUAGAGUAUUUUUAAUUUGGAGGAAAAAAACAUUUUAACUAGAAAGCUUGAGACCAUUUACAGGCUAUACAUAUAGCAUUCUGAUUAUUUAAUUAAGAUUAGAGAAAUUCAUUGUCCUAAGGUUAAAGUAAGAGCCUUAAAGUCCUAUGAAAGAUAAACAAUUCUGAAGGCCAGAGGAUUAAAUCAAGAACUCAGCAUUGUUUGCUUUGUAAAAGCAAACUGUUACUAGAUCCUAACAUAUAAUGUCAAAAUUAUGAAAAUAAUUACAAUAAAUGAAGCAUUAAUAAGUUUGAUGCAUAUCUUAAGUACUAUAUAAAGAAAUAUGAGAACUUGGCAAUCUCUCAAUAGGGAGUUUAGGUAAAUAGGAUUGAAUUUAAUUUUCUAAGAAUUACUUAUAGUACAACAUAUGCAUCCAUCUACAAUCUAUCAGUGUGUAUUUUCAGUGUUAGAAUAUAAUAGAAUGAUUUCUCUGGAUUGAAAAUAUUUGGAAUAAUCUAUCUGGUAUUUCUAUCUUAGAGAAUUUAUUUUGCAUAACUUUAUCUUCGUUUAUUUUAGUAGGUGCAGGGUGCAGUACACAGUUCUCAUUUUUAGUCAUCUACCCUGGCUGACAAUUCGGUCAUUCUCUCUAGGGUUAUCUCAGGGAUCAUGGCGACUUUUUGAUUGAAAAUUUUAUUAGUGAUUUUGGAUCCAAUCCUGUUUUGUAUGGUCACAGUGGCCAGAGGUGAGACAGUGAGCACCACAUACCUCUUCAGUGUCUUCCAUAACAUAAUGAUCAGCACCAGGAAGUCCAGGUGUCUUUAGCUUCAAAUAAAAGCAUUAAAACCCCUUUCAUGCUCUGUGCUGGAUUAUGAAUCUCUUGGUAAAUAUCAGAGUUCCCUUGCUUAUGACUGACAAAUGGAAUGACAAAAGCAGCACUCUCACUCUGUUGCCCAGGCUAGAGUGCCAUGGCAUCAGCCUAGCUCACAGCAACUUUAAAUUUCUGGGC